rnacentral:rRNA from 1 species
GAUGAACGCUGACAGAAUGCUUAACACAUGCGAGUCUUUGGCGAAGCUGUGCUCGCACAGCCUAGCCAAGGCGGACGGGUGAGUAACGCGUAAGGAACUUGCCCUGCAGUCAGGGAUAACAGACGGAAACGACUGAUAAGACCUGGUAAAGUCAGGCGGACUCAUGUCCAGCCUGAUGAAAAGAGAUGCUGCAGGAGAGCCUUGCGUCCUAUUAGCUUGUUGGUGGGGUAACGGCCCACCAAGGCGAUGAUAGGUAGCCGGCCUGAGAGGGUGGACGGCCACAAGGGGACUGAGAUACGGCCCUUACUCCUACGGGAGGCAGCAGUGGGGAAUAUUGGACAAUGGGGGCAACCCUGAUCCAGCAAUUCUGUGUGCACGAUGAAGGUUUUCGGAUUGUAAAGUGCUUUCAGCAGGGAAGAAAAAAAUGACGGUACCUGCAGAAGAAGCGACGGCUAAAUACGUGCCAGCAGCCGCGGUAAUACGUAUGUCGCAAGCGUUAUCCGGAAUUAUUGGGCAUAAAGGGCAUCUAGGCGGCCAGAUAAGUCUGGGGUGAAAACUUGCGGCUCAACCGCAAGCCUGCCCUGGAAACUAUGCGGCUAGAGUACUGGAGAGGUGGACGGAACUGCACGAGUAGAGGUGAAAUUCGUAGAUAUGUGCAGGAAUGCCGAUGAUGAAGAUAGUUCACUGGACGGUAACUGACGCUGAAGUGCGAAAGCUNNGGAGCAAACNNG